GGUGAGGUAGCUCAGUCGGUAGAGCAAAAGACUGAAAAUCUUUGUGUCGGGGGUUCGAUUCCCUCCCUCACCA
rnacentral:tRNA from 1 species